rnacentral:lncRNA from 1 species
UUUAUGCCAAAAUAAAAAUGCAAGAAAUAAAAUUACAUCAAUUCCCUAUUUAUACACACUAAAUCAAUGACAAAACAAAAUGAUGAGAAAAUUAAAUGUGCAUGCUAUGAUUCAAGACAAAAAUUAAAUCGUUAGUAACAUAAGAAAUAUCAUGGUGAAUGAGACAUAAGUAAUAAAAAGCAAGGAAUUAAGACAAGCAACAAUUAAGAUCAUCA